GACGAACGCUGGCGGCGUGCCUAAUACAUGCAAGUAGAACGCUGAAGAGAGGAGCUUGCUCUUCUUGGAUGAGUUGCGGACGGGUGAGUAACGCGUAGGUAACCUGCCUGGUAGCGGGGGAUAACUAUUGGAAACGAUAGCUAAUACCGCAUAAAAUGGACUAUCGCAUGAUAAUCCAUUGAAAGGUGCAAAUGCAUCACUACCAGACGGAUGUGCGUUGUAUUAGCUAGUUGGUGGGGUAACGGCCCACCAAGGCGACGAUACAUAGGCGGCCUGAGAGGGAGGUCCGCCCCACCGGGAACUGGACACCGGCCAAGCCUCCUCGGGGAGGAGCAGGAGGGGAACAUCGGAAAAGGGCGGAAGUCUGGCCGAGGAAAGCCGGCGGGGUGAAGGAGGGUUUCGGGUCGUAAAGCUCGGUUUUAAGGGAAGAAAGAGUGUGAGGGUGAAAAGUUCACACUGUGACGGUACCUUACCAGAAAGGAACGGCUAACUACGUG
rnacentral:rRNA from 1 species